GCCUCCUUAGCUCAGUGGUUAGAGCACUGGUCUUGUAAACCAGGGUUCAUGAGUUUGAAUCUGAUAGGGGGCU
rnacentral:tRNA from 1 species